rnacentral:piRNA from 1 species
UGCCACACCCACUUAAUGCAGUGCUGAGGA